rnacentral:rRNA from 1 species
UACGUAGGGGGCUAGCGUUGCUCGGAAUCACUGGGCGUAAAGCGCACGUAGGCGGAUUGUUAAGUCAGGGGUGAAAUCCUGGAGCUCAACUCCAGAACUGCCUUUGAUACUGGCAAUCUCGAGUUCGGGAGAGGUGAGUGGAACUGCGAGUGUAGAGGUGAAAUUCGUAGAUAUUCGCAAGAACACCAGUGGCGAAGGCGGCUCACUGGCCCGAUACUGACGCUGAGGUGCGAAAGCGUGGGGAGCAAACAGG